rnacentral:rRNA from 1 species
AGAAUCAACGCUGGCGGCGUGCCUCAGACAUGCAAGUCGAACGCGAAAGUUCCCUUCGGGGAGCGAGUAGAGUGGCGCACGGGUGAGUAACACGUAGGUAAUUUGCCUUCGGGUGGGGAAUAACUCAGGGAAACUUGAGCUAAUACCGCAUAAUGCAGCGGCUCGACAUCGAGACAGUUGUUAAAGCGGGGGAUCUCGCAAGAGACCUCGCGCCUGAAGAGGAGCCUGCGGCAGAUUAGCUAGUUGGUAAGGUAAUGGCUUACCAAGGCAACGAUCU